rnacentral:misc_RNA from 1 species
UCCAGUUUAUCACUGGCAGUCUCGUUAGAGUCCUCAUCUUACUGUUAGUAACUAACGACAAGGGUUGCGCUCGUUGCGGGACUUAACCCAACAUCUCACGACACGAGCUGACGACAACCAUGCACCACCUGUCUCCUCUGUUCCGAAAAAACGGUAUAUCUCUAUACCCGUCAGAGGGAUGUCAAGACCUGGUAAGGUUCUUCGCGUUGCGUCGAAUUAAACCACAUGCUCCACCGCUUGUGCGGGUCCCCGUCAAUUCCUUUGAGUUUCAGUCUUGCGACCGUACUUCCCAGGCGGAGUACUUAAUGCGUUAACUUCAGCACCGAGGUUUCCCCCAACACUUAGUACUCAUCGUUUACGGCGUGGACUAC